UAGGGAAUCUUCGGCAAUGGACGAAAGUCUGACCGAGCAACGCCGCGUGAGUGAAGAAGGUUUUCGGAUCGUAAAACUCUGUUGUUAGAGAAGAACAAGGACGUUAGUAACUGAACGUCCCCUGACGGUAUCUAACCAGAAUGCCACGGCUAACUACGUGCCAGCAGCCGCGGUAAUACGUAGGUGGCAAGCGUUGUCCGGAUUUAUUGGGCGUAAAGCGAGCGCAGGCGGUUUCUUAAGUCUGAUGUGAAAGCCCCCGGCUCAACCGGGGAGGGUCAUUGGAAACUGGGAGACUUGAGUGCAGAAGAGGAGAGUGGAAUUCCAUGUGUAGCGGUGAAAUGCGUAGAUAUAUGGAGGAACACCAGUGGCGAAGGCGGCUCUCUGGUCUGUAACUGACGCUGAGGCUCGAAAGCGUGGGGAGCAAACAGG
rnacentral:rRNA from 1 species